UACAGCCAUAUCACAUUGAAACACUAGUUCCUCUAUGAUCACCGAAGUUAAGCAAUGUCAAACCUGGUCCAUACUUAGAUGGAUGACUGCUUGAGAAUACCAGGUGCUGUAAG